GACGAACGCUGGCGGCGUGCCUAAUACAUGCAAGUAGAACGCUGAAGAGAGGAGCUUGCUCUUCUUGGCUGAGUUGCGAACGGGUGAGUAACGCGUAGGUAACCUGCCUGGUAGCGGGGGAUAACUAUUGGAAACGAUAGCUAAUACCGCAUAAAAUUGAUUAUUGCAUGAUAAUUAAUUGAAAGAUGCAACUGCAUCACUACCAGAUGGACCUGCGUUGUAUUAGCUAGUUGGUGAGGUAACGGCUCACCAAGGCGACGAUACAUGGCCGACCUGAGAGGGUGAUCGGCCACACUGGGACUGAGACACGGCCCAGACUCCUACGGGAGGCAGCAGUAGGGAAUCUUCGGCAAUGGGGGGAACCCUGACCGAGCAACGCCGCGUGAGUGAAGAAGGUUUUCGGAUCGUAAAGCUCUGUUGUAAGAGAAGAACGGGUGUGAGAGUGGAAAGUUCACACUGUGACGGUAUCUUACCAGAAAGGGACGGCUAACUACGUG
rnacentral:rRNA from 1 species